GUCCUUGUAGUGCAAUGGAUAGCGCUUUGGACUUCUAAUCCAAAGGUCGUGGGUUAGAAUUCCACCUGGGAUG
rnacentral:tRNA from 1 species